UGAAAUUCCUGGAGAUAUAUUGAUAAACAUCCUCCUGGCAUCGUCAGUCUUAACGAGGGCACACAUUGUUUGCCAUUAGUAAACGGGGCAUUUCAUUGGAUUGACAUGCUUGGAGAUUAUUCUAUGCCUUCAAUAAGUUAUUCAGUGGUUUCAUUUAGUAUUUCUAAUGAAGUAUAUGGAGAUAUACCUUUUCCAGAGCAAUUAUCGUGCUUGCAAAGACGAGUCAUCACGUGUGGCAUUUCAGCGUUGGAUGAAAAAGAGCAAUAUUGAAACUUUCUUGGUCUGUAAACAACCCAGGUCGUUGGUUUCUUGGAUGUGAAGAUGGUCGGGUUGGAUGCAAGUAUUUUCGAUGGUAUGCAGUUGAUUAUCCUGAACAUGCUAGAACAUGCAAGUAUUAACUCUUUAGCUGUUUCUUUUUUUCUUUCAAGAAAGAUGAGACUGAGUAUGAAAAAAGGUCAAAUCUUUAAUCUGUUAAGAAUUGACUCAACAACAACGACCUUAGACCUUGACCUUGGAAGGUGGAGCGGUUGUUUCCUAUAGACCCUUGGCUCACGGAAAAAGAAAUAGCGUAAGUGAAGAAGCCAUAGAAAAAUACUAUAGGAAACAUGACAGAACAUUCUGAAAUAAAUGAACAGUAAUUACAACAAAAUAAUACGAUAAUCAAAGUAUUGAAACUACAUGAGUAAUACUGUGGCUACUAGUAAGGAAGGAUAAACGAGAUAACAUUCUACUGCCUACUAACCUUUUACCGUAAUCCAUGUUCUUUACAACCUCCUAUAUGAGGCCAUGACCUCGAUAAGCUGAAAUUGCGGAAUGUCGGGGAAAGAAACUUGUUCGUGAAGCGUUUCAAUUAAAGUAUGAAAUUCUAUGUCCUCCCAAACUUGCAAAUUACUCCUAUAACCUCAGUUCCAUAUGAAUUUCUUAACCUUGUACCCUUUGUAUUCGUUAAACUGACAUGAAUUAGUGAGAAUAUAAGUGCGAAGUUUUUAGCUGUUAUUCACAUUUUAUUACAUGAUGACUUUAUUAAGAAGAAAAAAGAUUUUAUUAAGAAAAAAAAGAUGGUUCGUGAAAGUUUGAGAAAUUUCUUUUGUAACUGCAUGUUGUUGUAGCAUGUUAAGUUCAACUUUGAAUGUUCUUCUGGAUCUUUAAUAUUUGGUUUUAAUUGUUGUAGAUCUUGAAAGGUUUUUGUUGUGUUUUUAUUGUUCAUCACAAUCUUCACCUCUUGUUAAAAUUGAAAAUACAACACUAAAAUAGCCUUAAACGAUUGUGUUGGUAUCUUGACGUCUUGAUCGUGAAUUGUUGGCCUUGUUGUUGUUGGAGGUGGACGUUUGGAGUGUUGUGUUAUUGUUGAAGUUGUU